AUUCCCGAGGGCUUUUUCUACUCGAUGUCCUUUUUAAUGCCUGCUUCUCAUAGCAUCUUUUUGCUGCUGGUAUUUUCCCUGCUCAUUCAGAUUCCAGCACUCUUACCUUCUGCAAGAAGUGCCUCAGCAAGCCUGUGGGUGUGGGUGGUGGUUCCAUCGGCCCCAAAUUACACCCCUUUUCUGUAUUUCACAAGCCCUGAAUGCCCCUUGCACCCCCAGCCCCCACGGAGAUGCGGAGCCUCUAGCUCCAUUCUGCAUUCACUAGAUCCACUCUUCCUCCCCCUGUAUAGGUGUGAAUUACAGUCACUCUGCUCAAAAUGUUUGCAGCAAAGGCCAUCUUCGAGGUCAGGAAAUCCUAUUAUCAGAUUUACUCUUCAGAGCAGAGGUGUCCAUAGUAGUGAAGUUGAGCCAUUCCCUGGAGCAUCUGUGGGGUCUUCAUGUUUGGGAAAUCUUGGGAUUCUUGAGAAGUGGUGACUCAACACAUGGAGUUCUUAGCCUGCUCAGAGGAAGGAGCAUCAACAGACAACUUCUGCUCAGGAAUCGACAGGAGAAUAGAGUUUAUGUUUUCUCAUGACCAUAUCCUCCAAGCAAUACUUUGAAAUUAUGCCGCCAUUUCUAGCUUUGCUUUGACUGGUCUUUCAAGAGUCAGCCUCAAACCCAGAACACACUCACACAAAUCCAGCUGAAGAUGAUUCUCGAGUGGCCAGAGUCCAGCAGGGCCUCAAUUCCUGCAGAAAUUGUGAGGAAGAGUGGCCCCUGAGCAAACAACUGUUGCCAAUCUUCCUCUUUUUUGCUUGAGGAAGAUCAUCGCUGAGCUAACAUCUGUGCCAAUCUUCCUCUGUUUUGUAUUUGGGAUGCUGCCACAGCAUGGCUUGAUGAGCGGUGUGUAUAUCUGCCCCCGGGAUCAGAACUGGUGAACCCCAGGCUGCCAAAGCGGAGUGCAUGAACUUAACCACUACGCCGCCAGGCCAGCCCCAGAAGGAUUUUCUUUAUCAAUCAGCUUAGGAGCCCAGGAGUAGUCAUCACCUAACCGAGGUCCUCUGCCCUGUCCGCUGUCUGACUCAGGAGGAGGAAAGCAGCCUGGAGCAAUUCUUCUGCCUGUGCUGGAAUGGACUCAAUCCAGGUUCUAUUGGACAUCAUCAGCAAUAUAACUUUUCUUCCCCAGUUACAGUGGGAAGUAAAAGGGCACAGUUUCCUCUGAGGUCAUAUUUUGGGCCAAUAAAUCAGAUUGAUUCUGAGCUUU
rnacentral:lncRNA from 1 species